CAGGAUUUUAGGGCACCCGCUGGCGCAGCUACUGGGCACAGCUUAUGGGAGGCCGCAGCAAGAGCAUAGAGGGCUGCUUUCUGCAUCCACAGCGUGCCCACUGAGCGCAUUGGCUGUAUCUGACGAAACCGCCAUGACUGCCCGGCACAGGUGCUGCGCUACGCGCACGGCCAGACCUACGGCGCCCACUAUGACUCUGGCGACAAAUCCAACGAGCCCGGCCCCAAGUGGCGCCUGGCCACCUUCCUCAUGUACCUGUCCGACGUGGAGGAGGGCGGCGAGACUGCUUUCCCGCACAACUCCGUCUGGGCGGACCCGUCAAUCCCCGAGAAGGUUGGCGACAAGUUCUCUGACUGCGCCAAGGGCAACGUCGCUGCCAAGCCCAAGGCCGGCGAUGCCGUGCUUUUCUAUUCCUUCUACCCCAACAUGACCAUGGACCCCGCCGCCAUGCACACCGGCUGCCCGGUGAUCAAGGGCGUGAAGUGGGCUGCGCCCGUGUGGAUGCACGACAUCCCCUUCCGCCCCUCGGAGAUCAGCGGCAUGGUUCAGCGCAUCCCCGACAACGAGCCCGAUGCCGGCACCUGCACGGACCUGCACCCCCGCUGCGUCGAGUGGGCUGCUGCCGGCGAGUGCGAGCACAACAAGGGCUUUAUGAUGGGCGGCCCCGACAACCUGGGCACCUGCCGCAAGACCUGCAAGGCCUGCGAGCAGUGCAGCUCGGGGGACAUGGACUGCAUCAACAGCAACCGCGUGCGCGGCGGCUACUGGAAGUACGACAAGGUGGGGAGCAGCGCGACAUCGGCUUGGCGGGGGGAGGGUCUUUUGGAGCGGGGCAGGGUGGAGCGGCACGGUGGAGCGGGGUGUCGCUGGGUGAUUGCAUGAGAACUGCGCAGUGGAGUAAGAUGGGAAUGGAAAACGUUUGUUCAUACUCCUGACACGCCGAUGGCCUCUUGCUCUGACCCACAGGACGAGCUGGAGUGGCUGGGUGCUGGCAGCCUGUGGAAGGCCGACAUGUCGCCGGAGCUUUAAGCAGGCGGCGGCGGCCGGUUGGCGGCACUUAGCGGCGAUGGGAGGGCAAUGCCAUGGCCCGCAGCACCAGCCUCGCCCUCAUGAUGUGAAGAGGCGCGCGGGCUCUAGCCAUUCUUGUCAUUCUUUUGGGUUGUCGCGAGCGUGUGACACGGGGGUUGGAGGAGCGUUGGAGUGGACCCUGCGCGAGUGGUGUUGAAAGCUUAAUGUGCAGCGGGAUGCACUGGUGCAUGCGAGCUUGCACCGUGCAAGUUUGGGACCUUGUAGUAGGGGAUCGUGGGACUCAUGCAUGGAAGGGGCAGAAGCUUGGCGUCGCAAUUGUGCGCCGGCUGCUGACUAUAGAAUAGACAUACAUGCACAACAGGUUUUAGAGGCAGGGCGCGACACAGCGAAGGCAAUCAUGAAUGAGGACCGCCGUACGCGCACACGGAAUGACAUGAAGAAGCGUGUUUUGACAAGGUCUUACGUCAGCACUGACUGCGUGUGGGAUCUCACUGGAGUAUCUCCUGUACGACAGGACGUCCUGGACGACGCCUCUUACGGUACAUAUUGAGCCUGUCAUUUACGCUUGACGUGAAAUGAAAGAAAUUGUUUCUUACAGAAUCUGGCACUGCGCAGACUUCGUGGCGUGAUACAGUAUUCACUGCUGACAUAGCCUGACCCGACUGGUGCACGCAUACCGAUGCACGCUAGGACGGACUUCAUGUUCGCUUGUGUGUUGCGUUUUUUAAGCACGUCGAUGACGGGGGAUGCGUGGGGAUGCGCCCCUGGCAUGCGGAUUGACAAGUUCUGGACACACUCCGGCCAUGUGCAGUUUUGCGCUAGAAUCCGAAUGUAAUGGACGUCAACUCAUCGAGGAGUCGAUCUCUAUCUUGCCACUUGGCAGCAAGGAUAUGACCAGCGGUGCGUGCGUGCCGAAUGCAAUGCAAUGCCCGCCGCUUCUCAUUUCCGGCAAGGCUCGGUAGCGUAGCCAGCAGCUGCUCCUGUUGCUGUGCGUGCAGUUGAAUGUCUGGCACACAUUGUGACCUGCGCCAGCUGGAUAUGCGCUGGACCGCUGAACAGGCAGGCGGGCGCCCUCGACCGGGAUGAACACGUUGCGGCGUUACUCGGCCGUCGGCGUUCCGACAUCGAGUACGUAAUAAUCACUCUGCAGCCAGAGGUUUCUGCAUGCAGUAUAUCGAUCAUUGAUUUACCCAUUUGCAAGAGACAGAGUUCAACUUGGCACAACGCGGAAGCGCCGGUACCGACGGACACGGGCAGGACACGAAGAUGGGGCGUCGCCGUGAGGCUUGCGCCCUAGUUAAAGAGGCAUGUAGCGACACACGGUAAUAUCUUCCAAUCUGAGCUAGAAUACAAAGAGUACCACGCUCGUAAGCGCUGAUUCUACUACACUUUCUAAAAUUUGGCUGUCGACACGCGAUUCUUAGUUCGAGCCGCAGCUUCCAGCCUUGGCCAGGAUGCGUCUUCUAUCAACGCUCCUCGUGGUAUGCCUAGUAUUGAAACUUGCAGCAGGUAAGCCUCGCUGUGGGUUGCCUAAGAGAAUUGCCGGGAGCAUUGGACUGUUGCGGUGCCACUAGUUCAACUUUCCCUUGACAAACCUCAUCUUGGUGCACGCUGCAGCUGCCAAGGAUGCAAAGGGGUGGGGAGGACUCCCUGAACGGCUGCUUGACUCAGCCAUGGUCAUGGUAAGACUGACUGGCAUGUCGCGGAACGUUUCCAGUGUCCACGGCUUGACCUCGCUCCACAGCUCGCACGCCGUGCCUGUGCGCACAGAUCCACCCGCAGCUUGUAGUCAGUUUGCUGUUGUCCUUAAGAAACUCCACCACGCCUGCUGCAUCCACGAUUCCCCUUCUGCGCUCACAAUGCCCGCCUGCAUCGCACCCCUUCCCCCACCCCACAGCACCACGAGGCUGACAAGCAGUUUGAGGAGGACGCCACACCCUGGGUGCAGCAGGUCGGCCUGCACCCCCGCGCCUACUACUUCCACAACUUUCUCACCAAGGCAGAGCGUGCGCACCUGGUCAGGGUUGCGGCGCCCAAGCUGAAGCGUUCGACAGUGGUUGGCGGCAAGGGCGAGGGUGUUGUCGACGACAUCCGCACUAGCUAUGGCAUGUUCAUUCGCCGGUUGUCGGAUCCCGUCGUCACCCGCAUUGAGAAGCGUAUCUCGUUGUGGACCCACCUGCCCGUCGAGCAUCAGGAGGACAUUCAGGUGCAGAACGCGCGCGUUGAGGGCGGCGUCAAAUCCACGGAAUAUGUCUGGCGCCGAAUGCCAAGAGAUUUUAGUCACGACCCAUACGGCCAGCCUGGCUAAAGUCUUUGAUGCCGGCAUAACUUACCACAAGCUUUGUGGCGCUUGCAGAUUCUGCGCUACGCGCACGGCCAGACCUACGGAGCCCACUACGACUCCGGGGCCUCGAGCGACCACGUGGGCCCAAAGUGGCGCCUGGCCACCUUCCUCAUGUACCUGUCUGACGUGGAGGAGGGCGGCGAGACUGCUUUCCCGCACAACUCCGUCUGGGCGGACCCCUCAAUUCCUGAGCAGGUUGGCGACAAGUUCUCUGACUGCGCCAAGGGCCAUGUGGCUGCCAA
rnacentral:lncRNA from 1 species